rnacentral:rRNA from 1 species
GACGAACGCUGGCGGCGUGCCUAACACAUGCAAGUCGAACGGAACUGUUUUGAAAGCUUUCUUCGGAAUGAAUUUGAUUUAGUUUAGUGGCGGACGGGUGAGUAACGCGUGAGUAACCUGCCUUCAAGAGGGGAAUAACAUUCUGAAAAGAAUGCUAAUACCGCAUGACAUAUCGGAACCACAUGGUUUUGAUAUCAAAGAUUUUAUCGCUUGAAGAUGGACUCGCGUCCGAUUAGUUAGUUGGUGAGGUAACGGCCUACCAAGACCGCGAUCGGUAGCCGGACUGAGAGGUUGAACGGCCACAUUGGGACUGAGACACGGCCCAGACUCCUACGGGAGGCAGCAGUGGGGGAUAUUGCGCAAUGGGGGCAACCCUGACGAAGCAACGCCGCGUGAAGGAUGAAGGUUUUCGGAUUGUAAACUUCUUUUAUUAAGGACGAAAAAUGACGGUACUUAAUGAAUAAGCUCCGGCUAACUACGUG